UACGUAGGGGGCAAGCGUUGUCCGGAUUUAUUGGGCGUAAAGAGCGUGUAGGCGGUUUGGUAGGUCCGCUGUGAAAACUCGAGGCUCAACCUCGAGACGCCGGUGGAAACCAUCAGGCUAGAGUCCGGAAGAGGAGAGUGGAAUUCCUGGUGUAGCGGUGAAAUGCGCAGAUAUCAGGAAGAACACCCGUGGCUAAGGCGGCCUC
rnacentral:rRNA from 1 species